CUCAGUUCGGAUUGUAGGCUGAAACUCGCCUACAUGAAGCUGGAGUUGCUGUAAUCGCGAAUCAGCAUGUCGCGGUGAAUACGUUCCCGGGCCUUGUACACACCGCCCGUCACACCAUGAGAGUUGGCAAUACCCAACGUACGUGAUCUAACCCGCAAGGGAGGAAGCGUCCUAAGGUAGGGUCAGCGAUUGGGGUGAAGUCGUAACAAGGUACC
rnacentral:rRNA from 1 species